rnacentral:ncRNA from 1 species
UCUUAUCAAGAGUGGUGGAGGGACUGGCCCUGUGAAACCCAGCAACCUUUAAUAGGUGUGAUAGGCUUAAUUUUUAUUGAGCUAAAUUACUCAUAUUAAGUUUGGUGCUAAAUCCUGCAGCUUUAAAGCUGAUAGAUGAGA